CUCGGGCGAAUCGAUGACUGCAUCUUUGAUGCACUUGCUAGUACAUCUGAGAAUUCUUAAUUGGAUAGUUGUAA
rnacentral:tRNA from 1 species